UUGACCCAUGAAUGAGAAUCGUUAUGAUUAUCACAACUGGUCGCGAGACUGGUUGGAUAGCCUCAGAGCCCUUGGUUCGGACUCUCAGAUUAUCUCCUCAUCAGGCUAAUCACGGUUAUUGACCCGGCACUUUGCCGGGUCUUUUUUUG
rfam:Pseudomonas sp. TRMO17WK12:I11 isolate Yellow genome assembly, chromosome: 1